GACGAACGCUGGCGGCGUGCCUAACACAUGCAAGUCGAACGGAAAGGCCCUGCUUUUGUGGGGUGCUCGAGUGGCGAACGGGUGAGUAACACGUGAGUAACCUGCCCUUGACUUUGGGAUAACUUCAGGAAACUGGGGCUAAUACCGGAUAGGAGCUCCUGCUGCAUGGUGGGGGUUGGAAAGUUUCGGCGGUUGGGGAUGGACGGGCGGCUUAUCAGCUUGCUGGUGGGGUAGUGGCUUACCAAGGCUUUGACGGGUAGCCGGCAUGAGAGGGUGACCGGCCACAUUGGGACUGAGAUACGGCCCAGACUCCUACGGGAGGCAGCAGUGGGGAGUAUUGCACAAUGGGCGGAAGCCUGAUGCAGCAACGCCGCGUGCGGGAUGACGGCCUGCGGGUUGUAAACCGCUUUCGCCUGUGACGAAGCGUGAGUGACGGUAAUGGGUAAAGAAGCACCGGCUAACUACGUG
rnacentral:rRNA from 1 species